rnacentral:snoRNA from 1 species
UUGGGGAUGAAGAACAAAAUCAGACGGAUUCCCACUGAGUUUUGUCUGUGAUAUGAAAUAACCAGCUACUUCUGACCCAA